rnacentral:pre_miRNA from 1 species
CAGCUGUGGGCUCAGAGGCAUAGCUCUGGGUUGUCUUCACCAUGGCCUGGACCCCUCUCCUGCUCCCACUCCUCACUCUCUGCACAGGUGC